AAGGGCCCGGCUCCAUCGCAGGAGCAGCCGCCGUCACCACCACCGGUGUCGCCGCCUUCAUGCCUAGCCUGCGGGCGUUGUCCCUGCUGAAGAUCUGGGAGCUUAAGGCGGCUCCAACCAAUCACGGAUGGGCUUUGAGGGCGUGGACCCUCCCACUUCCGUCUUGCGCGGGGUCUCCCAGAGGAGGUGUGGUCCGCGAUCUCCGUUAGCUCCAAGGCGGAAGGAUCUGUCGUCCCACUGCAGUGUCGGGUUUCCGUUGUCAAAUAGGAAGUGAAGCCACGGGCCGCCAUCCUUAAGCAAUUCCCGCUAUCUCAGACUCCUGGUAUAGAUGGGAAGGGAUGUCCAUGGCUUAACUCCUGAGCUCCCUAGGUGGGGUCUGAACCUGGGCCCAAAGCAGUAGGGGGGGGGGAGGUCAUGCAGCACUGGGAAUGGUUUCUCAAAACCCUCACAUAGGUCGUCCGCUGACUUUGGUCGGGCUUACUGCCACCUCGAGGUAGCGGGAAGACCUGAGGAGUUGAGAUUCCCGGCUUGUGGUUGGAUAAAUGAGUUCCAGUGUAAAAUGGUGGUUUCCGUGAAAAGGACGUGUGAGAACGAAAUUAAUAGGGAAGCAUGCUCGUGGCAUCUUCAUUAAAGUCAGGAACCACAGACGGGAUGGUUUAUAAAGAAUAGAGGUUCCAGAGGCAGGGAUAUUCAAGAACUGUGUGCCAGCCUUCCUGCUGCAUCUUGAUGCGAUAGAGAGAGUCACAUGCCCAGACAGACAAGCCUGCCUGCUCAGAUCUCACUUCUUCCUGUAAAGCCACUGGUGGUGUUUAUGGAAAGUCCAUGCUGGAAUAGAGCUAACAAGGACUGGGCUCUGCCCUCAUCGCCUCAUUUGAAGAACCUCCUUCUACAAGCCUCAUUUCAAUUAGCAACUCCAAUUUAAGGAUUGAGUUUCCAAGGCAUGGACUUUUGGGUGUCUGCUGAAACCCUGGCAAAGAAGGACGGCAUGCCUACCUCCCUUCUAGCCUCCCCUCCUCUUUCUCUCUCCUCCUUUCUGUUUAAAGCAGAGAUCAAGGAAUAAAAGCAAGGAUUGUUCUAUGGGAAACCUCCGUUGUACUUUUGUCUCUAUGUACUCGAGUACUCCAGUUCCCUUUUGUAAGUGGAUGGAUGCACACUGCAUUUUCCUUUUGGUGACUAACCUUCCGCUAUCACUGAAACAUCUCACACAUAGACAGAUGGUGACAAAUGGGGGCACCAGGAAGAGCAGAGCCCCAAGGACACCUCAA
rnacentral:lncRNA from 1 species